UACAGAGGGUGCAAACGUUGUUCGGAAUUACUGGGCGUAAAGCGCGUGUAGGCGGCUAAGUAAGUCGGGCGUGAAAUCCCACGGCUCACCGUGGAAGUGCACUCGAAACUGCAUAGCUAGAGUCCUGGAGAGGAAGGUGGAAUGCUUGGUGUAGAGGUGAAAUUCGUAGAUAUCAAGCGGAACACCGGUGGCGAAGGCGGCCUUCUGGACAGUGACUGACGCUGAGACGCGAAAGCGUGGGGAGCAAACAGG
rnacentral:rRNA from 1 species